rnacentral:misc_RNA from 1 species
UUUACUACUCUUUUAAUGCCGGAGGAAUCCAUUUCAUCAUGCUAGGAGCCUACAUUGAUUAUAAUCAGACGAGUGCUCAGUAUUCUUGGCUUCAGCAUGAUCUGGAAAAAGUAGAUCGUGGCGUGACUCCUUGGCUGGUGGCUGCAUGGCAUUCUCCUUGGUACAAUAGCUAUUCAUCACACUACCAAGAAUUUGAGUGCAUGAGGCAGGA